CAUGGCGGGGCUGCCUGUUCUGGAUUUGAACGUGACUGAACGGGCACGGCUGAACUGACUUCACGGGCUGUUCGAAGUGGUGCUGAGUUGGACUAAAAACAUAAGCUGAGGACUCGGCUUCGAGCAAGGCAAAGGACAGCUGCUGCUUCCGUGGAGAUGGGGGCGAUCUUGCGGACGAAGGAGGAGGCGAUCGCGGCUGGCUUCUUCGGCGAAGUCGCUGGAGUUGAUGCAACAGUCAACAAACCAACUGAGGGGAGGCGAGAUGGCGGUCAAAGACGGGGCAGAGAGACG
rnacentral:lncRNA from 1 species